CCUACGGGUGGCAGCAGUCGAGAAUCAUUCACAAUGGGGGAAACCCUGAUGGGGCGACGCCGCGUGGGGGAAUGAAGGUCUGCGGAUUGUAAACCCCUGUCAUGUGGGAGCAAAUUAAAAAGAUAGUACCACAAGAGGAAGAGACGGCUAACUCUGUGCCAGCAGCCGCGGUAAUACAGAGGUCUCAAGCGGUGUUCGGAAUCACUGGGCGUAACGCGUGCGGAGGCUGUUUCGUAAGUCGUGUGUGAAAGGCGCGGGCUCAACCCGCGGACGGCACAUGAUACUGCGAGACUAGAGUACUGGAGGGGGAACCGGAAUUCUCGGUGUAGCCGUGAACUGCGUAGAUAUCGGGCGGAACACUCGUGGCGAAGGCGGGUUCCUGGACAUUAACUGACGCUGAGGCACGAAGGCCAGGGGAGCGAAACGGACUAGAUACCCGAGUAGUC
rnacentral:rRNA from 1 species